rnacentral:tRNA from 1 species
GGGAAGGUGGCUCAGGCGUAGAGCGCUUGCCUUGCAUGCAUGAAGCCCUGGGUUC